rnacentral:rRNA from 1 species
UACAGAGGUCUCAAGCGUUGUUCGGAUUCAUUGGGCGUAAAGGGUGCGUAGGUGGCUUGUUAAGUUGAAGGUGAAAUCUCGGGGCUCAACUCCGAAACUGCCUUCAAUACUGGCGAGCUCGAGGACUGUAGAGGAGAAUGGAAUUCACGGUGUAGCAGUGAAAUGCGUAGAUAUCGUGAGGAAGACCCAGUGGCGAAGGGCCGCAUUCUCUGGGCAGUUCCUGACACUGAGGCACGAAGGCUAGGGGAGCAAACGGG